rnacentral:rRNA from 1 species
GAUGAACGCUGGCGGCGUGCUUAACACAUGCAAGUCGAACGGAAAGGCCCAAGCUUGCUUGGGUACUCGAGUGGCGAACGGGUGAGUAACACGUGGGUGAUCUGCCCUGCACUUCGGGAUAAGCCUGGGAAACUGGGUCUAAUACCGGAUAGGACCACAUCUUGGAUGGUGUGGUGGAAAGUUUUUCGGUGUGGGAUGAGCUCGCGGCCUAUCAGCUUGUUGGUGGGGUAAUGGCCUACCAAGGCGUCGACGGGUAGCCGGCCUGAGAGGGUGUACGGCCACAUUGGGACUGAGAUACGGCCCAGACUCCGACGGGGGGCAGCAGUGGGGAAUAUUGCACAAUGGGCGCAAGCCUGAUGCAGCGACGCCGCGUGGGGGAUGACGGCCUUCGGGUUGUAAACUCCUUUCGCUAGGGACGAAGCGUUUUUGUGACGGUACCUGGAGAAGAAGCACCGGCUAACUACGUG